rnacentral:rRNA from 1 species
UACGUAGGUGGCAAGCGUUGUCCGGAUUUAUUGGGUUUAAAGGGUGCGUAGGCGGUCUUUUAAGUCAGUGCUGAAAUACUCCAGCUUAACUGGAGGGGUGGCAUUGAUACUGGAAGACUUGAGUGUAGUCGAGGUAGGCGGAAUUGACGGUGUAGCGGUGAAAUGCUUAGAUAUCGUCAAGAACACCGAUAGUGAAGACAGCUUACUAGGCUACAACUGACGCUGAGGCACGAAAGUGUGGGGAUCAAACAGGAUUAGAUACCCUGGUAGUCCACACUGUAAACGUUGAUUACUCGAUGUUGGCGAUAUACUGUCAGCGUCUUAGCGCAAGCGAUAAGUAAUCCACCUGGGGAGUACGCCGGCAACGGUGAA